GACGAACGCUGGCGGCGUGCUUAACACAUGCAAGUCGAACGGAAAGGCCCUGCUUUUGUGGGGUGCUCGAGUGGCGAACGGGUGAGUAACACGUGAGUAACCUGCCCUUGACUUUGGGAUAACUUCAGGAAACUGGGGCUAAUACCGGACAGGAUCUCCUGCUGCAUGGUGGGGGGUGGAAAGUUUCGGCGGUUGUGGAUGGACUCGCGGCUUAUCAGCUUGUUGGUGGGGUAGUGGCUUACCAAGGCUUUGACGGGUAGCCGGCCUGAGAGGGUGACCGGCCACAUUGGGACUGAGAUACGGCCCAGACUCCUACGGGAGGCAGCAGUGGGGAAUAUUGCACAAUGGGCGGAGGCCUGAUGCAGCAACGCCGCGUGCGGGAUGACGGCCUUCGGGUGGUAAACCGUUUUCGCCUGUGACGAAGCGUGAGUGACGGUAAUGGGUAAAGAAGCACCGGCUAACUACGUG
rnacentral:rRNA from 1 species